rnacentral:lncRNA from 13 species
ACUGGAGUUAGUCAAGGUCAACCAGGGGUCAGCAAAGGUCAUCCAAGGUCAAGCAAGGGUUGAGGUCAACGGGGUUGGUCAAAGUCAAGCAAGGGUCAGCCAAGGGUCCACGGGAGUUGGCCAAGGUCAACCAGGGGUCAUCCAAGGUCACUCAAAGUCACCUCAGAUCUUCCAGGACCCACCCAAAGGUCACUCAAGGUCACCCACGAGUCCUCCAAGGCCUCCCAAGACCACCCAAGGUCCUGGAAGAUCCACCCAACGUCCCCUGAGACCGCCCCAAACCCUCCGGAGCCCCCUGAAGACCCCCGAGACCCAUCCAAGGUCCUUGAAGGGCCAAGCCAGGUCCUGGAAGAUCCACCCGGGGUCUUCGAAGGUUCCUCCAAGGAUCCUCCAGACCCUCCCCAGGUCCUGGAAGCUCCACCCCAAAAUGCUCCAGAACCUUCUCCAAGUCCUCCAAGGAUCACCCGAGGCCUCCCAAGACCCUCGCGAGGUCCUGGAAGGUUCUGGAAGGUCCCAGAAAGUCCUGGAAGGUUCUGGAAGGUCCCAGAAAGUCCUGGAAGGUUCUGGAAGGUCCCGGAAGGUCCUCACCCGGUAUUCCUUGAUCUCCUCCUGCAGGAUCUGGUCGGCGUCGGCGUAAACCUCGACCUUGCGCUGCUUCUCCAGCUUCCGGCGCAGCCGCGACAGCUCCUCCUGUCGCGACAGAGGCGGCGAUAUACCACGAUAUGUCCUGAUACGUCGCGAUACAGAGCCCCAAAAAACCCCCCAAAAUUCCUAAAAAAUUCCUAAAAAUCCUUAAAAAUCUUCCACGGAUUCUCCAGGGUUGGAUGGAGCCCCGACAGCUCCUCCUGUCGCGACAGAGGCGGCGGCGAUACGUCGCGAUAUGUCGCGAUAGAGAGCUC